GCUGGGCAUGGUGAUGCACGCCUGUAAUCCCAGUGGCUUGGGAGGCUGAGGCAGGAGGAUUGCAAGUUCAAAGCCAGCCUCAGCAACUUAGUGAGGCCCUAAGAAAUUUAGCAAGACCCUAUCUCAA
rnacentral:sRNA from 1 species